rnacentral:rRNA from 1 species
UACGUAGGGUGCGAGCGUUAAUCGGAAUUACUGGGCGUAAAGCGUGCGCAGGCGGUUUUGUAAGCCAGAUGUGAAAUCCCCGGGCUUAACCUGGGAAUGGCAUUUGGGACUGCAAGGCUUGAGUGCGGCAGAGGAGACUGGAAUUCCUGGUGUAGCAGUGAAAUGCGCAGAUAUCAGGAGGAACACCGAUGGCGAAGGCAGGUCUCUGGGCUGACACUGACGCUCAUGCACGAAAGCGUGGGGAGCAAACAGG